rnacentral:tRNA from 1 species
GGGCCCAUGGUCCAACGGUACGAUAUCUGCUUGACGUGCAGAGGACAGGAGUUCGACUCUCCUUGGGCCCA